rnacentral:rRNA from 1 species
UACGAAGGGGGCUAGCGUUGUUCGGAAUUACUGGGCGUAAAGGGCGCGUAGGCGGUUGCUCAAGUCAAGCGUGAAAGCCCCGGGCUCAACCUGGGAAUUGCGCUUGAGACUGGGCGGCUUGAGUUCGGGAGAGGUGAGUGGAAUUCCCAGUGUAGAGGUGAAAUUCGUAGAUAUUGGGAAGAACACCGGUGGCGAAGGCGGCUCACUGGACCGACACUGACGCUGAGGCGCGAAAGCGUGGGGAGCAAACAGG